AGAGUUUGAUCCUGGCUCAGGACUAACGCUAACGGUGCACAUAAUACAUGCAAGUCGAACGGGCAAUAUAGAAGUGGCAACACUUUUAUAAAGCUAGUGGCGAACGGGUGGGUAACGCGUAGGCAAUCUGCCUUAGAGAUUGGGAUAACCAUUUGAAAGAAUGGCUAAUACCAAAUAUCUUGUAUUUUUUUCAUGAAUUUUAUAAGAAAGGUAGCCGCAAGGCUUCCGCUCUAAGAUGAGCCUGCGUCCUAUUAGCUUGUUGGUAGGGUAACGGCCUACCAAGGCAACGAUGGGUAGCCGGCCUGAGAGGGUGACCGGCCACACUGGGACUGAGAUACGGCCCAGACUCCUACGGGAGGCAGCAGUAGGGAAUCUUGCGCAAUGGGCGAAAGCCUGACGCAGUGACACCGUGUGAAGGAUGAAGGCCUUAGGGUUGUAAACUUCUGUCAAUUGAGGACGAAGGUAGUAGGGUUAAUAGCCCGAAUACUGACGGUACUUAAUAAGGAAGUCUCGGCUAACUCCGUGCCAGCAGCCGCGGUAAGACGGAGGAGGCAAGCGUUGUCCGGAAUUAUUGGGCGUAAAGAGCGCGUAGGUGGCUUUCCAAGUCAUAUGUGAAAACCUCAGGCUUAACUUGAGGACUGCAUGUGAAACUGGAAAACUUGAGUGCAGUAGAGGAAAGUGGAAUUCCUGGUGUAGCGGUGAAAUGCGCAGAUAUCAGAAGAACACCAGUGGCGAAGGCGGCUUUCUGGGCUGCUACUGACACUGAGGCGCGAAAGCUAGGGGAGCGAACAGGAUUAGAUACCCUGGUAGUCCUAGCUGUAAACGAUGGACACUAGUGUGGAAGUUAUCGACGCUUUCCGUGCCGAAGCUAACGCAUAAGUGUCCCGCCUGGGGAGUACGGCCGCAAGGCUAAAACUCAAAGGAAUUGACCGGGGCCCGCACAAGCGGCGGAGCAUGUGCUUAAUUCGACGCAACGCGAAGAACCUUACCAAGGCUUGACAUCAUAUUGAUAGUGUAGAAAUACUUCUUCUCUUCGACAUAUGAAAGUGUGCAUGCUGUCGUCAGCUCGUGUCUGGAAUGUGGGUAGUUCCCGCACGAGCGCACCCUGUUCAUGUUGCUACAGGUCGCUGACACUCUUUGAUCUGCCAACGUGAACCUGAGAGUGGAUGACUCAAGUCCUAUGCUUAUGCUGGCGCACCUUCUCAAUGUCUUAUAACAA
rnacentral:rRNA from 1 species